GUUUAAUUUCACACACACACACAC
rnacentral:miRNA from 1 species